rnacentral:rRNA from 1 species
CCUACGGGAGGCAGCAGUCGAGAAUCAUUCACAAUGGGGGGAACGCUGAUGGUGCGACGCCGCGUGGGGGAAUGAAGGUCUUCGGAUUGUAAACCCCUGUCAUGUGGGAGCAAAUUAAAAAGAUAGUACCACAAGAGGAAGAGACGGCUAACUCUGUGCCAGCAGCCGCGGUAAUACAGAGGUCUCAAGCGGUGUUCGGAAUCACUGGGCGUAAAGCGUGCGUAGGCUGUUUCGUAAGUCGUGUGUGAAAGGCGCGGGCUCAACCCGCGGACGGCACAUGAUACUGCGAGACUAGAGUAAUGGAGGGGGAACCGGAAUUCUCGGUGUAGCAGUGAAAUGCUUAGAUAUCGAGAGGAACACUCGUGGCGAAGGCGGGUUCCUGGACAUUAACUGACGCUGAGGCACGAAGGCCAGGGGAGCGAAAGGGAUUAGAUACCCCUGUAGUC